UACGUAAGGUGCAAGCGUUAAUCGGAAUUACUGGGCGUAAAGCGUGCGCAGGCGGUUUUGUAAGUCUGUCGUGAAAGCCCCGGGCUCAACCUGGGAAUUGCGAUGGAGACUGCAAGGCUUGAAUCUGGCAGAGGGGGUAGAAUUCCACGUGUAGCAGUGAAAUGCGUAGAUAUCGGGAGGAACACCAGUGGCGAAGGCGGUUGCCUGGAGCUUUGCUGACGCUGAGGCGCGAAAGCGUGGGGAGCGAUCCGG
rnacentral:rRNA from 1 species